UCUCUCCCACACAACGAUAUUCACAAAUUGAGAGAACCCUAAUUCACUAAAUCCCGCCGCCUCCACCUGUACACUGUGAAUCUUCAAUUUCCAGCCACCACUACACCGUGAAUUGUGAUAUUUACCUCUAAUUUCAGGAAUUCCAAACGCCUACAACAAUUAAACGGCGAAACCACCCACAAGUUUAGGUGAAUGUUCUAGCUACGGACAAAUCACCCGAAAAGCAAAAGUGAAUGUUCUAGAGCUGAAAUGAAGUACAAAAGAUGACACCACAUGUUGUGACCUUUAUGCAAUGCGCCAUAUGGGAACGAAGGUCACCGACUGGAAAUGUGAUCAUACAAACAAACAAUCAAAGUCUUUGCAGCUUCUUCGUGCCAAAUAUUGUACAUCAAUGUUGUAUAACAACGACAAUAGGGUCUUUGGCUGUGUGUUGAGAAUUGCCUCACAUCAGUUCGAGUAGGCAAAAAAGAGAGGACCGAUAGAUGUGGAGAAUAUGGUUGCGGAGUACAAGGAACCAUAAACAAUGAAUGAAUUCUUGGCUUUUUUGAACACGAAUGAAAUCUUGGCUGUGUGAAUGAACUCAGUAUUGAAACAUGUAGUUUUGUAGUUUUGUUUUGGUGUAGACAAUGUGAGUGACUUAAUUUGAUUGACUUUUUUUUGUA